rnacentral:rRNA from 1 species
AGUCUGGCCUGCCCAAUGAUUUUUGAAUGGCCGCAGUAUUUUGACUGUGCAAAGGUAGCAUAAUCAUUAGUUUUUUGAUUGAAAGCUGGAAUGAAAGGUUUGAUGAGGAAAUGACUGUCUCUGAGUUAAUGUUUUAGAAUUUCAAUUUUAAGUUAAAAAGCUUAAAUUUUUUAUAAAGACGAGAAGACCCUAUAGAGUUUUAUAUUUUUCUUUAUUUAGUGAUUAAGGAUUUUAUUUUUUUAUAUAUGGAAGAAUAUUUUGUUGGGGUGAUGGAAAAAUUUGAUAAACUUUUUUUUGUUUGUUACAUUAAUAUAUGAUUUUUUGAUCCUUAUUUUUGGAUUAUAAGAUUAAAUUACCUUAGGGAUAACAGCGUAAUUUUUUUUGGAGAGUUCUUAUCGAUAAAAAAGUUUGCGACCUCGAUGUUGGAUUAAAAUUAAAUUUUGGUGUAGAAGCUAAAAAUUUUAGGUCUGUUCGACCUUUAAAAUUUU